rnacentral:rRNA from 1 species
AAGUCGAACGGAAAGGCCCUGCUUGCAGGGUACUCGAGUGGCGAACGGGUGAGUAACACGUGGGUGAUCUGCCCUGCACUUCGGGAUAAGCUUGGGAAACUGGGUCUAAUACCGGAUAGGAACCAUCUUUAGUGUGGUGGUUGGAAAGUUUUUUCGGUGUAGGAUGAGCUCGCGGCCUAUCAGCUUGUUGGUGGGGUAAUGGCCUACCAAGGCGGCGACGGGUAGCCGGCCUGAGAGGGUGUACGGCCACAUUGGGACUGAGAUACGGCCCAGACUCCUACGGGAGGCAGCAGUGGGGAAUAUUGCACAAUGGGCGCAAGCCUGAUGCAGCGACGCCGCGUGGGGGAUGAAGGCCUUCGGGUUGUAAACUCCUUUCGCUAGGGACGAAGCUUUUUGUGACGGUACCUAGAUAAGAAGCACCGGCUAACUACGUGCCAGCAGCCGCGGUAAUACGUAGGGUGCGAGCGUUGUCCGGAAUUACUGGGCGUAAAGGGCUCGUAGGUGGUUUGUCGCGUCGUCUGUGAAAUUCUGGGGCUUAACUCCGGGCGUGCAGGCGAUACGGGCAUAACUUGAGUGCUGUAGGGGUAACUGGAAUUCCUGGUGUAGCGGUGAAAUGCGCAGAUAUCAGGAGGAACACCGAUGGCGAAGGCAGGUUACUGGGCAGUUACUGACGC